rnacentral:rRNA from 1 species
GAUGAACGCUGGCGGCGUACCUAAUACAUGCAAGUCGAGCGAACGGACGAGAAGCUUGCUUCUCUGAUGUUAGCGGCGGACGGGUGAGUAACGCGUGGAUAACCUACCUAUAAGACUGGGAUAACUUCGGGAAACCGGAGCUAAUACCGGAUAAUAUUUUGAACCGCAUGGUUCAAAAGUGAAAGACGGUCUUGCUGUCACUUAUAGAUGGAUCCGCGCUGCAUUAGCUAGUUGGUAAGGUAACGGCUUACCAAGGCAACGAUGCAUAGCCGACCUGAGAGGGUGAUCGGCCACACUGGAACUGAGACACGGUCCAGACUCCUACGGGAGGCAGCAGUAGGGAAUCUUCCGCAAUGGGCGAAAGCCUGACGGAGCAACGCCGCGUGAGUGAUGAAGGUCUUCGGAUCGUAAAACUCUGUUAUUAGGGAAGAACAUAUGUGUAAGUAACUGUGCACAUCUUGACGGUACCUAAUCAGAAAGCCACGGCUAACUACGUG